AAAGUUGUACCUGGAGUAGGCCCAUUGGAAUUAUUGGACUUAAUUCCAUUGAUUUCAGUGGGUUUACUCUAAGUAUCUUAGUU